CGCUAAAUAUGACGAGCGACACAAAACAAGGCGAAGCAGCUUCCAAUUGAAUGGAAAUGGAGUUUACACUUCACUCACUUUGCUUCCACCCCAGCUUCCACCGGAUUUACCAGGCAGAAAAUAAUUAAGAACCGGAACCGGAAAGCUAACCGGGAUGCAGAUUAUCGCUUUCAACUUCCGACAUUCUUGAAGAUGUUUCGCAGGGCCAAUGUUGGACUUCAUCAUAGUUCAGAGCACCAGAUUUGGACAAACUUGACUCAACGGAUUGAAUUCAUCUAGUAUCCAGUGGAACGGAACUCAUUCUUACAAAUGACCCAGUCUAACGCUCUGGUUCGAUCUCCCAAUAUGGAAAAUCAACCCAUGACCGAUACGGCAUCAUUAGCUGAAUAUUUUCGAUUUACGGGUGUUCCGCCGAUUCGAAUGUUUCCACCACAGAUGCCUGUUUUGUUCCCCUUGUGUGUGAUGGAGGAUUUAUCAUGUACGUGAUCAACGUAGUGCAGCAACGACAUCAGCAUGUGUUGUUCAACCGAGUCUUCAACUCGGUGAUAGGAAUUCCGCAGUAUUCACAUAUUUGCCUCAGUUUUUCAACAACAAAUAGCGCAUCAAAUAAAAUAGUUCCCCAUUUUCCAAAUCAGUGACUGAUGUCCGGAAGGAAGCCACC